rnacentral:rRNA from 1 species
UGGGGAAUCUUGCACAAUGGGCGAAAGCCUGAUGCAGCAACGCCGCGUGAGCGAAGAAGGCCUUUGGGUCGUAAAGCUCUGUCCUGAGGGAAGAAGGAAGUGACGGUACCUCAGGAGGAAGCCCCGGCUAACUACGUGCCAGCAGCCGCGGUAAUACGUAGGGGGCAAGCGUUAUCCGGAAUUAUUGGGCGUAAAAGAGUACGUAGGCGGUUCUUUAAGCGCAGGGUCUAAAGGCUAUGGCUUAAACCAUGGUUCGCCCUGUGAAACUGGGGGACUUGAGUAUCGGAGAGGAAAAGCGGAAUUCCUAGUGUAGCGGUGAAAAUGCGUAGAUAUUAGGAGGAACACCAGUGGCGAAAGGCGGCUUUCUGGACGAAAAAACUGACGCUGAGGUACGAAAAGCGUGGGGAGCAAAACAAGGAUUAGAUACC